CGAAUAAAUUUUUUGUUAUCAAAAUUCAAAAACUACUUUAACGUCAUCUGAUAAUUAUUGAUAUAUUUCAUAAUUUAUAAUUAUGUUUUGAUUUGACUACUGGAAAAUGUUUCCAUUCACUCGUAAUUACUUUCGUUAUCAAAACCAAUCUUUGAUCAAACGCACAUUUUUGACGACUAAACGAGGGAUUAUGAUUUUAGCUUUUAUUUGGUGCUUACCUAUCUGCUAUAUGAUUUCAAAAAAAGAAGAACUUACUACGCAUCUAAUAAGAAAAAGAUUUGAUUGCAGAUAUAUUUUCACGGCACCCGAAACUACAACAACGCUAAAUACUGUCAUCAGGUCCUCUCAGAUAUCCUGCUGGUCUUAUCACAGAGCACUGCGAAGGAGUAUUUAACUAGGUAAUUAACACCUCUUGGUUCUAGGCCAGAACUCUAACCACUCCGCCAUGGCUGCACUUAUGAUUCGAUUAAACAACUUGAAUAUGAACUAA
rnacentral:misc_RNA from 1 species